AUCAGGGCCGCGGCCGCCGCACCGCGCCGCUCUCGGCCGGGACCAGCGGUCCGCGCGGGCUCAGCGCGUCCGCCGCGGCCUUGGUGCGCUGGGCGGCCUUGUGGGCCCCCGGCCUGGUCUGGAGCCGGGGCAGCCCCGGGAGAGCCGCAAGGGCCUUCCCGCCCCGCCCCGCCCCGGCCCGGUCCGGUCCGGUCCGGUCCGCGUAGGCCGCGCGCCAGCAGCGGGGAGCGGCCGGGGCUGUGCCCGGGGCUGUGCCCGGCGCUGUGCCCGCGGUGCCCGUGGUUGUCCGGAGAUCGCCCGGUGUCCAGUCGGAGCUGCAGAACCGUAAGCCUCGGUGGAGGCUCCUUCGCAGGUCUCCCCUGAGCGCCGGUACUGGGAACCUGGAACCGUAGCGAUGUUAGCUGGUGGUGCUGGAGGGUGCUCGCCGCCCCUGCCCCUUCCUGUGGCGUGUCCAGGGCUCUUGUGAGGGCUCGGUGCUGCUCCUCCUGCGCUGGCUCCGGGGGAUGUCAUCCCGUGGGAUGUCUUCGGGGUUUCUGUCCCGUGGGAUGUUUCCCCAGGCCGGCCUCCCGCCUGGCCAGAGGCUCAAGCCGACCAAUUUCCCGGAGCAGCCCACAGCUCUGCCUGUGAGGCCCGAGGAGCAGUGCAGGUGGGUGCAGCACCUUCAUUUUUGGUUUCCCAGCCUGUUUUGCACCAGAUCUACUGUUGGCAGAGUGGCUAAAACCUGAUUUUUAUCCCAAGAGUUCACUCUUGGGAGGGGCAGUGCUAACGGUGCCAUUGGUGGUCUGUGAGGGCUCUGGGGGUCACUUGCUGCUGUGACAAUUUCCCAGGCAUUCGAUGUUUUUCUACCCGGACACUCACAAGGGCAGCAGUGAUUCUGAACUUGUGGACCAAAGAAAAGAACAGUUAGUCAUCUGAGGGAAAUAGUUUAUAGAUUUAUUUGCGUAUUUGCUUUAUUUGUUUUACAGAAUUGGGUUGAAUUUUGAAGAUAAUGGGGAAAAAAAGCCCUUAUUUCUUCUCUGCCUAUAAAGCACAUGACCAGCAUGUAAAAAUAUACUAAACAGUCUGAGUCUAAAGUAGUUUCCUUUUGAAGUCUGUUUCCCAGGUGGUUUAAUAGCCAGGAAUCUGAAAGCUUAAAAAUUGUACUUAUUUUUUUCUCUCUCUGAAUAGUCAGUUAGCUAGGGAGAAUGCAUUCAUCUUUUAAAAAUACUUGCUUUGAAAUGCAUUUUUAAUAUUAUUUGGAAUGAGACUCAACCUAAAUCCAUUUGGUCAGGACUUUUGCUGUGGUGGUUCACACUUUGUAGCACUUAAUAAAAAAGCAGAGAAGGGUUUCUUUGUAGGUUUGAUUAUUUAUCUUUUCCUUCUUCUGAGGCUUUUUGGGACUAGACAAAAUUAAUAUAAAUGGGACCAAGUGGGAUGAGGGCUCUGCUAUGGGACCAACUCUCCUGCCUUUUCUUUUUGCCUCCUUCAAUAGUGGAAUUAAACCUCAAGGACAGUUGCUGUAAUGAUGUCUAGGACUUUGGUUGGUUUGUGGUUUAGCCCCUUCUUAGCUACAUAGAUGACUUUUAAACUCUGUUCUGUCAGUCUGUGUACUAGUCAGAGGUGGAAGUAAUGAUGUUAGGGGAUCUUAGUCUGGGAAGGUUUAUUUUUAUUAAAUUUAACGCUUGACUGUUUCCCCUGCCACCUAUUUCCAAAGGCCUAUUUCCAAAGGACAGCAUGUGGCAGGCAAUGACUAACUUAAGGUUUAGGAGUGUUCUGGGAAUGUGAGUGAUUAUAGUCAGAUCUGCUCUGCUGAACUUAGUGCAUCUUUGUUCCCAAUUUCCCUUUUUGUUUCUGUGUGCAUCCCAACAGAACUGCUUAUUUUAUUGAUCACAACAAAAUAUUACUUGUUACCAAAGUGCCUGAGCUAGCCUUUGUGUGUGCAGGGUUGUGUGGGUUAGUGAGGCUGCAAAGAGCUUGUGGCUGUGCUCAGCGAAGUGACCCAAGUGAAGCCAGCAGUUCUGGCCUCUAUUCCCAGUUAGUUUUGUAGCAGGGACUGUUCAGGAUGUGUUUUGGAUGCAUUGAUUUGGAAUUGAAUUUGUGACCUUUGAAGAGCUGUUAAAAAUGUUGGAAGCUUUGUACCUACUAAAUGUGAUCCGCACAUUAAUUUUGCUCUUGAGAAGACUAGCUAUUAUCGGUGUUUAUUUUAAAAAUUAAAUCUGCCUUUGUGCAGAUGUGUGCUGGCUCAUGGAAAGGGCAAGAAAAAUCAGCCAUAGGGAAAAAGAAUUUUGUUUUACUUUUGUGGGAAUUUAGACUGCUCUGAUGAGUUUCCACAUAACUAAGGCUGUGGUUACUAAAAACAAAUGCAUAUCCUAUUAGUCACCAAUAUCUGGCAACCUUAUGUACUUCAGAUUUAUCACAAACUCUGCUUAGAUGGUCUCUGCUAGAGGGAGUUUAAUCUUCUUAAUCACUCAAAAGUAUAUAUUCUUUUUCCCAGAUUAAGAAAUGAGUGUAUUUACAAUUCUGUCAUUAAGCUUGAUAUAUUUAUUUUCCCUUUCUUACCAAUGAUGUAUGGCACCGGAAUUCUGACUUCAGCUUGCUUUGUGCAAGGAUCUCAAUAUACAGGGCAGAUGUUUGGGGUGGGAUUUUGUGGCACAAUCCUGUGCUGUGCUUCUGGAUGUUGUAGACACGGGAAGCAGAGUGAGGGUGGUGGCUGGGUUGAUGGGUGGGUAAUUUGGUGGUGAUACAUAACCGACACAGUGGCAGGGGGUGCUGAAGGAGAGAAAAAAUCAGACAAUACUGAAGGAGCAGGAUUCAGGAUAUAAACAGGGCACUAUGCAACAGGCUUGUCUAUGUGCUUAGAGCCAUCUGAAGGUGGCUGGUGUUGGUUAUUGGCUUAUGUCACUUCCAGGAUCAAACCAGUGCAUAUUUUCAUCACCAGUGUGGCCCUUAGGGGCAUUUCAAGAGUGAGUUCCUCAGUUCUGGUGAUGAGAUGGGUUUAGAGAGUAUUCAUAUUCCUAAGCUGUCAUUUGGAACUUUUUUUCCUUCUCUGUCAUGACUUCUGAAUUUGAACAGGCAAUACUGUGUGGUUUUCUGUUACCAAAUUUAGAAACUUUCCCAAGAUCUAAUCACUUAGUCCAGAAUGUUGAAGGUAUCUUCUUGCUCAGCUCCUGUAGAAAAUAAGUUUGUGGCUUCUCUCUGCAUGUGGGGCCCCCAGUCUUGGCAUCUUUCUCCUGAGUGUGAAACUGCCCUUUUAGUGCUCAAGAUUGAGUAUUAAUAAGAAGCACAUGGAAACUCUAGGAAUGCUCUUUAUUGAAUUGGGAUCUGGUUGCCUUCCUUUAACUUCUGAAAAAUGCUCUCCUAGAAGCUCUGCUGGAAUGUGGGGCAGCAUGGUGAAGGGAGCCUGUGAAUAACCAGCCAAAGGAGCGCAGGACCCCUGGAAUUUUCUUCCAGUGACAGAUGGAGUUAAUGACCUGAGAGCCAUUUGCAUGGUUUAUGCCCCUAAUUGAUACUUUUAAAAUGCUAGAGCCUGGGAAAGGCUGUGCUUUCUCCAGGUGCAAAAUCAUGGGAAGAUAACUUCCUUUGGAAAGCGUUGGAAGCCUCAGAGGUCUUCCAGUCUGGUUUAGCUUGUGUGGUGGAUAUUCUUACUUUUGGUUAUGGUCAGGGCAUUGCUGUAGGAUAGAGCCUAUUCCAGCCAGCGGAUUCCUGUGCCAGAUGGGUGACCUCCGCCUGUUCUUGGAAGGUCCCAUGGAAUUAGUGAUGAAAAACUGUUUGUCUGAAAAAUAAAGCUGACAAAAUCCUAGAGUUAGAACUUGUAAUAAAAUCUUUUUUUUUUUUCUAUCUGUUCUCAUUCCUUAAAAAAUCAUUUAGGAUUUUUGCCAGGGAAGGCAGAGCACUGUGAGGAGCUGACUUAAGUUCUCCCAGGUGGGGAGUUGUGGUGCUGGCUGCCCAUUGCUGCCUGUGUUGUGUUUUGCGUGUUCAGCUGUGCUAGCACAAUUGUCUGUCUGUGCUCUCAGGCAGAGGAGCUGCGCAGGGGCUCUCGGCACAAUGCCCCUGUGCAGCUCAGGAGCUGCUGCAGCAGAGAGCUGGGGUCCAGCAGCAGCCUGGGAAUGUGCUCCAGCAGUGGGGCGGCAACGAGCUGGAACAGGGCGCUGCCAGAGCUCCAUCCUCAAACAAUGGCCUGAGCAGAGAAAAGCUGUAGCAGCGCUAAAAGAUAAGUAUGAUCCUUGGCCCUAGGAAAACCCUGGAAGAGCAGACCAUAUGAAUGAGGAAGAUCAGCAAAUCUGUACUUAGAACUGGAGUAGGAAAUAUUCCCAAGGUUAAAGAAGCUCACAGAGGAUGGCUGCCUUUCUUCCUUUUGCUUGAGCCAUGACACUUGAAUUCCAAAGGGUAUGUGAUAAGAGUGUUUUCGAGAGGAAGGGAGCAUGGCUCAGCUGUUUCAACUGUGUUUUUCUCAUUUGUUUCUUGCUCUCAUCUGCAAGUCAAAAAGUAGAGGGAACCUCCUGCCGCGAGAUGUACCUUUGUUUUCACAAUUCCUUUCAGGAAAGCUGGGCUUUGUGUGCUGAAGAGCUCUCUGCACUUACAUUUUUCUGUUAUCAUGGCAACACCAUGUGUGGAGGCAGAGGUUUCUAGCUCAUCUCUUACUUCUCAUGCAGUCUCCUACAACUUGUUAUGUUGGAUGAAGUUCUGCUUUGCUUUGUAUCUUUUUUUGUAGUACCAAAUGUCUCCUGAUUUUGCCCUUUUGUAGUGAACAUAUUCAUUAAUUAAAUUAUUAAAAUGAAACACCC